rnacentral:rRNA from 1 species
UACGUAGGGUGCGAGCGUUGCUCGGAAUUAUUGGGCGUAAAGGGUAGGUAGGUGGUCUCGUUUGUCUGGGGUGAAAUCCUUGAGCUUAACUCAAGAAGUGCCCCCAGAAAACGGCGAGACUUGAGUACUGGAGAGGGUCGUGGAAUUCCCGGUGUAGUGGUGAAAUGCGUAGAUAUCAGUCGGAACACCGGUGGCGAAGGCGGCUUACUGGACCGGUUCUGACGCUGAGGCGCGAAAGCGUGGGGAGCAAACAGG